rnacentral:rRNA from 1 species
UACAGAGGUCCCGAGCGUUGUUCGGAUUCACUGGGCGUAAAGCGUGCGCAGGCGGUUUUGUAAGCCAGAUGUGAAAGCCCCGGGCUUAACCUGGGAAUGGCAUUUGGGACUGCAAGGCUUGAGUGCGGCAGAGGAGACUGGAAUUCCUGGUGUAGCAGUGAAAUGCGUAGAUAUGCGGAGGAACACCGAUGGCGAAGGCAAUCCCCUGGACCUGUACUGACGCUCAUGCACGAAAGCGUGGGGAGCAAACAGG